rnacentral:rRNA from 1 species
GACGAACGCUGGCGGCGUGCUUAACACAUGCAAGUCGAACGAAGAGCGAUGGAAGCUUGCUUCUAUCAAUCUUAGUGGCGAACGGGUGAGUAACGCGUAAUCAACCUGCCCUUCAGAGGGGGACAACAGUUGGAAACGACUGCUAAUACCGCAUACGAUCUAACCUCGGCAUCGAGGAAAGAUGAAAGGUGGCCUCUAUGUAUAAGCUAUCACUGAAGGAGGGGAUUGCGUCUGAUUAGCUAGUUGGAGGGGUAACGGCCCACCAAGGCGAUGAUCAGUAGCCGGUCUGAGAGGAUGAACGGCCACAUUGGGACUGAGACACGGCCCAGACUCCUACGGGAGGCAGCAGUGGGGAAUCUUCCGCAAUGGACGAAAGUCUGACGGAGCAACGCCGCGUGAGUGAUGACGGCCUUCGGGUUGUAAAGCUCUGUUAAUCGGGACGAAAGGCCUUCUUGCGAAUAGUGAGGAGGAUUGACGGUACCGGAAUAGAAAGCCACGGCUAACUACGUG